GCCAGACUCCUACGGGAGGCAGCAGUCGGGAAUAUUGCGCAAUGGAGGAAACUCUGACGCAGUGACGCCGCGUAUAGGAAGAAGGUUUUCGGAUUGUAAACUAUUGUCGUGAGGGAAGAAAUUGACAGUACCUCAGGAGGAAGCUCCGGCUAACUAUGUGCCAGCAGCCGCGGUAAUACAUAGGGAGCAAGCGUUAUCCGGAUUUAUUGGGUUUAAAGGGUGCGUAGGCGGGCAUUUAAGCCGGCGGUCAAAUGUCGGGGCUCAACCCCGGCCUGCCGUCGGAACUGGGUGCCUUGAGUGGGCGAGAAGUAUGCGGAAUGCGUGGUGUAGCGGUGAAAUGCAUAGAUAUCACGCAGAACCCCGAUUGCGAAGGCAGCAUACCGGCGCCCUACUGACGCUGAGGCACGAAAGUGCGGGUAUCGAACAGGAUUAGAUACCCGAGUA
rnacentral:rRNA from 1 species